AUUGAACGCUGGCGGCAUGCCUUACACAUGCAAGUCGAACGGUAACAGGUCUUCGGAUGCUGACGAGUGGCGCACGGGUGAGUAAUACAUCGGAACGUGCCCGAUCGUGGGGGAUAACGAGGCGAAAGCUUUGCUAAUACCGCAUACGAUCUACGGAUGAAAGCGGGGGAUCUUCGGACCUCGCGCGGACGGAGCGGCCGAUGGCAGAUUAGGUAGUUGGUGGGAUAAAAGCUUACCAAGCCGACGAUCUGUAGCUGGUCUGAGAGGAUGAUCAGCCACACUGGGACUGAGACACGGCCCAGACUCCUACGGGAGGCAGCAGUGGGGAAUUUUGGACAAUGGGCGAAAGCCUGAUCCAGCCAUGCCGCGUGCAGGAUGAAGGCCUUCGGGUUGUAAACUGCUUUUGUACGGAAUGAAAAGCCUCUUUCUAAUAAAGAGGGGUCAUGACGGUACCGUAAGAAUAAGCACCGGCUAACUACGUG
rnacentral:rRNA from 1 species